UAGAUUGAAGCUCGCUGGCUUAGGCUUUUAGUUGUUAACUAAAUAUUUAUGGGAUCAAGGCCCAUCGAUCUAG
rnacentral:tRNA from 1 species